rnacentral:lncRNA from 1 species
AGGAUCGAUCUGCAUGAACAUGAGGGUCAUAGAAACAGGAAGCUGGCGCAUGCAACAGGGUGGGCUACAGGCUUUGAUAGAAUGGUGGCUAACAACAACAACUGGUAUUUGUCAGAUGUCUACACUGUGCAUGGCAUUAUGUCAGGUGAUCUACAAGCUUUACGUCAAUGGAUUCUUACUGAAACCCUUUGAGCAGUUCCCAGAGCUUAUCGCACCAUCUGUGAAAUCUGAAGUAUUGUUGUGAGGAUUCAAUGGAGUAAUAUCUGCUGAUGUGCGAACCACAGAGCCUGCAGGAGAGUGAGGAAAAGGGAAACUCUCUAUACCAAAGAAGGAAGGUGGGAAGGUUCAGAGUGGCCUAUGCCAAGUCCUGAGGGCACUGACCACCUUGGGGGCAAUGAGAAGAGCCAUGGAGCUGGAGAAGCCAAAGAGAGGACAAGCAGAGUGAAGAGGAGGUAUUCAGGAAAGCAGUUGUCAGUAGACUUCCAUGUCUUUUGCUACCUUUGAUUUAAGUCUCCUUCUGCCAGGUAAAGUAGAGCACUGCAUGUCCCUCUUGAGUUCCAGUGUCCUGCCAUCUCAUGUAGCCCUUCCGGGUCUUGACUUUGAGUUGAUGGAGGUGAGAGAGAUCUAGAAAGAGCUCUUAGUGGGUAAUGUGAGCAAGUCAGGAAACUCAGCUCAGAGCACCAGAUCUGGGCAAAAGGGGUGGAUCUGAGUCUUAAGGAGAAGGAAGGAAACCACUGUUCAGAACUGGGUUUCAGUUUAGGGUGGUGUUAGGCCUUUCUGAUGCAAAGGACUAGAGGCUUUCUUGAUCAUCUUCAGUAAGUGUGUAUGUGUGUGUGUGCUUGGAGUAAGGGAAGAAGUAUUGAAAGGAAGAACAUGGAAAUAAGGUAAUUAGAAACCUCAACCACAUGGCCAGAUGUCAAGAGUGCCAGGGAGAGUUUAGUAAUCAGGCCUUGCAAGAAGAAAAGAAACUAAUAUCCUGGUGGAUUUUUUGGAGACCAGAACUGGAAGACUGGGCAAAGUUCCAGUCACUCUAGGGAUUAGGAUCAAUUUUCAUCUUCACAGAAGUGUUUUCUGCUCUACAUGUCUGCUUCUUUGUGUUAUCUACUUUACAGGAUAUGGACCAAUGCCCUCACCCUACUCAUAUCUUUGGCUUAUUUAUAAUUUUGGUUUACUCAUAAACAUCACUUACUCAUGAUUGCUCAUGGUUCUUGCCUUCUUUUGACCUCUCUCUGCAUCAGUUUCUGCUCCCAAUGCCAACCGAAUAAUUCUCUUUAAAGAAUCUCAUAGUUUACAUUUCUAACAGAUAAAAUCUAAAUGGUCCAGCUAAUCAUA